CCUACGGGAGGCAGCAGUGGGGAAUAUUGCACAAUGGGCGCAAGCCUGAUGCAGCGACGCCGCGUGAGCGAUGAAGGCCUUCGGGUCGUAAAGCUCUGUCCUAAGGGAAGAAUAAUGACGGUACCUUAGGAGGAAGCCCCGGCUAACUACGUGCCAGCAGCCGCGGUAAUACGUAGGGGGCGAGCGUUAUCCGGAAUCACUGGGCGUAAAGGGUGCGUAGGCGGCCCUGCAAGUCAGGAGUUAAAUCCCUCGGCUCAACCGAGGUCAGCUCUUGAAACUGUCUUACUAGAGUGCAGGAGAGGAAAGCGGAAUUCCUAGCGUAGUGGUGAAAUGCGUAGAUAUUGGGAGGAACACCAGUUGCGAAGGCGGCUCUCUGGACUGUAACUGACGCUGAGGCACGAAAGCGUGGGGAGCGAACAGGAUUAGAUACCCGGGUAGUC
rnacentral:rRNA from 1 species